rnacentral:lncRNA from 1 species
CUGUUGCCUGCUGAGCCCCGGGAGUGGGCCCUGCCCAGGGGGACCAGUCCGAUGGGGACAGGAGCAGAAGCAGGGCCUCUGUCCUGGAGCUCCUGCCUUGGGGGGAGAUGCCGUGCGCCCCUCGGGGAACUGCAGGACAGAGCAGCUUGCAGGAUGCUAUUCUACCAAGGACAAGUCAGGCUGUUUCGAGGAAAGCCUGAGGCCAUAUGGAGGCAGAGAAGGUGUCUGAGCGGCUUCCCUGUCCCCGCAGAAGGUGUCACCACCACCGGAUCCACUCCUACGCUGUUGCGACUCCCCAAGGCCUCCUCCCACCCAGGGUCUCUCCAGGCAGGCCCCUGAACAAUCCGCUAGGCCGGAGCUCCUGAGGGUGCUCUCCCCUCAACUUGAUGGAGACAUGCUCUGUUUUUCGGGGAGAUCUGAAGACUUCACUUCCCUCAACUGUAUGGCCUCCCUGGAGAGGUGCAGGGGAAGGGCAGUCCAUACCGUGGUGGGGACCCUGCAUGCGAACAUUUGGGCAACCGAAAGAUCUGCCCCACACCAGCCUCAACACGGACACGACCGCCUUCCAACCGAAGUCAGUGCAAAUGAGGAACUGGAACUCAAGCUUAGAGUCGAAGUGGAUGAUCCUAUCCAGACAUUGAAGACCCACAUGCUCGAACAAAAGCUUUCCCUGUGCCGCGGCAGGACUUCGGGGACGCUGGUGAUGCAAGGAGCCAGCAAAGAAAUGUGGCGAAAGGCACAGGAUCUCAAGCCAGACUGCCUGGCCUGAAUCCUGGGGAAGGCAGUGCCCUGGGCCAGUUACCUAACCUCUUUGUGUCUCGGCUUCAUCAGCUGUAAAAUGAGACAGCAGAGUUUUUAAAAUUAAAAAAAAAAUUUUUUUUAUUGAAGUGUAAUUGACAUAUAACAUAUUAGUGUCAAGCGUACGACAUAAUGAUGUUGAUAUUUGUAUAUACCAUGAAAGGAUCAGCACAAUACGUCUAGUUAACAUCUGUCACCAUAUAUAGUUGCAAAGAAAUUAUCUGUUUUAAGAUUUUAUUUAUUUGAGAGAGAGUGAAGGGGAGAGAGAGAAAAAACACAAGCUGGGGGAGAAGCAGACUCCUUGCAGAACAGGGGGCCUAAUGUGGGGCUC